rnacentral:rRNA from 1 species
UACAGAGGGUGCAAGCGUUAAUCGGAAUUACUGGGCGUAAAGCGCGCGUAGGUGGUUCGUUAAGUUGGAUGUGAAAUCCCCGGGCUCAACCUGGGAACUGCAUUCAAAACUGUCGAGCUAGAGUAUGGUAGAGGGUGGUGGAAUUUCCUGUGUAGCGGUGAAAUGCGUAGAUAUAGGAAGGAACACCAGUGGCGAAGGCGACCACCUGGACUGAUACUGACACUGAGGUGCGAAAGCGUGGGAGCAAACAGG